CAGCAUUGGGGUAGCAUACUUCAGAUGGCGACCGGCGCACGGGUGAGUAACACGUAUCCAACCUUCCGCUUACUCGGGGAUAGCCUUUCGAAAGAAAGAUUAAUACCCGAUGGUAUAAAGAGUUCGCAUGUUCUCUUUAUUAAAGAAUUUCGGUAAGCGAUGGGGAUGCGUUCCAUUAGAUAGUUGGCGGGGUAACGGCCCACCAAGUCUACGAUGGAUAGGGGUUCUGAGAGGAAGGUCCCCCACAUUGGAACUGAGACACGGUCCAAACUCCUACGGGAGGCAGCAGUGAGGAAUAUUGGUCAAUGGACGAGAGUCUGAACCAGCCAAGUAGCGUGAAGGAUGACUGCCCUAUGGGUUGUAAACUUCUUUUAUAAGGGAAUAAAGUGAGGGACGUGUCCCUUUUUGUAUGUACCUUAUGAAUAAGGAUCGGCUAACUCCGUGCCAGCAGCCGCGGUAAUACGGAGGAUCCAAGCGUUAUCCGGAUUUAUUGGGUUUAAAGGGAGCGUAGGUUGACAUAUAAGUCAGCUGUGAAAGUUUACGGCUCAACCGUGAAAUUGCAGUUGAUACUGUAUGUCUUGAGUGUACAAGAGGUGGGCGGAAUUCGUGGUGUAGCGGUGAAAUGCUUAGAUAUCACGAAGAACUCCGAUUG
rnacentral:rRNA from 1 species